CCAAUAGCGUAUAUUAAAGUUGUUGCAGUUAAAAAGCUCGUAGUUGAAUUUCGGGAUCAGUGGGUCGGUCGUGCCACUGGUAUGCACUGGCCCUACUGGUUUCUCCUUCUUGAAGAACUGUAAUGCCAUUAAUUUGGUGUUGCAGGGAAACAGGACUGUUACUUUGAAAAAAUUAGAGUGUUUAAAGCAGGCAAUCGCUUGAAUACAUUAGCAUGGAAUAAUGAAAUAGGACGAUCGAUCCUAUUUUGUUGGUUUCUAGGAUUGACGUAAUGAUUAAUAGGGAUAGUUGGGGGCAUUAGUAUUCAAUUGUCAGAGGUGAAAUUCUUGGAUUUAUUGAAGACUAACUACUGCGAAAGCAUUUGCCAAGGAUGUUUUCAUUAAUCAAGAACGAAAGUUAGGGGAUCGAAGACGAUCAGAUACCGUCGUAGUCUUAACCAUAAACUAUGCCGACUAGGGAUCGGAUGAUGUUAAUUUUUUAAUGACUCAUUCGGCGCCUUACG
rnacentral:rRNA from 1 species